rnacentral:lncRNA from 10 species
AACACAUGCUGGCUGUGUAAAGGAAAAGCUAAUUAUUCCCUGCAUUCUCCAAGCUUCUGCAUCCCCCGCCCCACCAAGAUAACCAGUGUUGCCAGCCUGCUGAACAUUUCUUCUUGCAGUUCUCCCUGUGAGAGAAGAAGAACUGGCAUCAGGAAGAAAGUACUAAAUUUCCAUUUGUGGAGUUAUCUGCUCAGAAGUUUCUGGCCUUAUUUUCCCUCCAUAAAAUAAUUGCUUGGCUUAGAGAAGAUGAAGAAAACAGCACGGAGAAGUCUCAUUGCCAUUACCUGCCCCUUUGGAACCCAGGAUUUCAUUACUAAGGAAGGUCAAGGGAACUAGUCAGCCCUGGCUGUUGGAGAACAGUCCUUGGGAUACUCACCAGGGUCUCCACCAUGUUGGAUUUGUUGUUACGCAGUGUUUUCACGAUGUGGAACACGUCAAUGAUGUUUUGCUGCUGGAUCAUCUCACACACACUGCAGAUGGCACAGAAGGUUCCACUACGGCCUCCCCCAUUUCUAAACACAGAGCAAAGAGAAACCAGCAAGAAACUGAGCUCGGCUCCCUGGCUCACAUAGACAUGGAACAGAGAUCACAUCUGUGAGUGGAGGAGCCAGACUUUUCAUAUAAGCACAUGUAAAACUUUUGAAGUUGGCUGAUCCAAGAAUAGAUUCAAAUUCUUCAGCCAAGAGUCUAGACCAACUGACUUUUUCCACUUCAUUGCCUAGUUGACCCUUUGGGCCCGGAGCUCACGCACGCAGUUGAAGAUGUCCACCACCCCUUCAUUCUCGGCCAUGUCAAGCAUGGUGUCAAUGGCAAUGAAGCAGCCAGUCCGCCCAGCCCCAGCACUGGAAGAGAGCAAAUGGGUUGACGGAUGGAAGCAAAGAAGGAGAGGAGAGAGAACAGAGGGGAGAUGAAUGACAGGACAGAAACGAGAGUCCUCUGAGCUGUCCCCAAGACAGAGAGUGGUUGGUGGAGCACCACGUUCAAAGGCCGGCAUCUGGCUCCACCUGCAGCUGUUUUCGCAGGAUCGUGAAGCAAGAGUGUCAUGAAACUGGAGCAGCUGACCGUCCGGAGACCCUUGUCAGGGAUCAAGUUUCUUGAUACAUACUUACUUGAUUUCUGGUCACUAGUGGCUUCUUUAGGAGAAUCUCAGACCAAGUAUAAAAUGGUAGGGGAACUCAACGAGACUCUAUGGGCCUUGGCCAGCCCUUUCUAGAUCAGUGCUGGGCUCUGAAACAUCAGUGCUGACCAAGAGGCACGUAAGACAUGUGCCUUACACAUGUGCAGUUUUGGAUGGGAAGGCCGGGCAGCCUGUCAAGGAGGCCCCCUUCCGCUGCGUUUUCACAUCUUGCCUUUCUCAUGGAAACAAGUGUCUUUGUCUAACAAUGUAGAUGUCAAAAGACACACAAAGAGGAAGAGAGAUGGAACAAGACAAAAAAGCAAUAUUGGCUCAUGGUAAAUCCAAGGGGCACAGGCCAGUGCGGACCACUACCUACAACAAUUUGGAAAGUACACCCAUUGGAAGCAGAGUCUUCAUUCAUGAGAAACUUUCAUGGUUUGAAUGAAGUCUGACUUAAGUUUGCUUCAGAACCUACUCCCCAAAAUCCAGAUGCGGGGACUCAAGAGACUUGGCCUCUGUGUCUGGGAGGGAGUAUAGGGGGGGUCACUCGUGUUUUUUUCUUCAAUGUUCAUAUUCACCAUGCUUUAGUAUAAAGAAUCAGCCCAAUUUGGUUCCAAAUUUUGGAACAACUAUCAAUCAAUCAGCGGUGACCAAGUUGCCUAGUGUCCGUUUGUUUGUUAGCUUCAGAUUUCUGAUGCUUUUAACAUACCUCCCUGCAGGGUCCUUGUGAGGACAAAGCUGUGUUUAUUUCAUUUCAGCAUCACAUAGUAAUUGAACACAGGAUAUUUGAAAAGACCCCCUAGGAUUAAAUCCUGGCUCUAUUACUUAUUAGCUGCAUGACCUCGGGCAAAUGACUUAACCUCUCUGGGUUUCAAUACUCAUCUAUAAAAUGAUGUUGAUAAUAAUUAAAAUACUCACUCAUCUAUAAAAUGAUGUUGAUAAUAAUUAAUAGAUCCACCUCACAGCAUUAAUAGCACAAUAUGUAUAAAUUGGAUGAAAUUACAAUUAAAAUGCAUAAUGCAUACAAAUUGCUUUGUGCCUGGAUACAUAGCCAUUUUUUAUUGAGAAAUUAUUACUAUUAUAUUCAACAAAUAUUUAUUGAAAAUCUAAGAUGCAGUAGAUGCUGGUAUUAGGAGUGGGAAUAUGAAAACAAACAAACAUUGUUCCUGUCCUGAAGGAUUAAUAAAUAAUCUGGGGAGGGGGAGAAAGAAAACAUUAAGAGGAGGCAGAGAAUAAUGAUAUAUUAGAGUGCUUACUAUAUGUCAGGCAUUCUCUCUUAGGCACUUAGCCAACCCAUUUGGUAAUAAUUUUCAGAAUGGCCCCAGGAGUGGGUACCACUCUGCUCAGAUGCAUUAAGAUGACCUGCUAAGGAGACACAUACCGGCGUAGAGCCAUCAUGCGCCGAAGUCCUGAUGAUAAACAAACAUUUGCCAUUGUCUUUCUUUCUUUCUCCCUAACCCUUGAUCUGGGUGCUCUUUGGGAUAUAGAGAUGGGGGGCAUUAAUGAUCCAUUGCCCUUUGAUUGCUAUGAGAUAUAAAGCAAAGCAGAAAAUACAUGCAAAACAUUUAGAGAGUCCAGGAUUACCUCCUCAUCCUCACUUGCCUUAUCUGUGAAAUGGGGUUGUGUAGCUACUAUUGCUGGGAAG